rnacentral:rRNA from 1 species
CCUACGGGGGGCAGCAGUGAGGAAUAUUGGUCAAUGGGCGUACGCCUGAACCAGCCAAGUCGCGUGAGGGAAGACUGCCCUACGGGUUGUAAACCUCUUUUGUCGGGGAGCAACCCUGACUACGUGUGCCCAGACGGAGAGUACCUGUAGAAAAAGCAUCGGCUAACUCCGUGCCAGCAGCCGCGGUAAUACGGAGGAUGCGAGCGUUAUCCGGAUUUAUUGGGUUUAAAGGGUGCGUAGGCGGACUGUUAAGCCGGCGGUAAAAUUUCAGGGCUCAACCUCGCUGGGCCGUUGGAACUGGCAGUCUUGAGUGGGCGAGAGGUAUGCGGAAUGCGUGGUGUAGCGGUGAAAUGCAUAGAUAUCACGCAGAACGCCGAUUGCGAAGGCAGCAUACCGGCGCCCGACUGACGCUGAGGCACGAAAGCGUGGGGAUCGAACAGGAUUAGAUACCCCUGUAGUC